GGAAUCGAGCACGUGGGAGUCUGUCGAUUUGCAUCUCCCAUCUCCGCUGGAGGUCUUCUCCCUGCCGUAAAGAAGCAAACUGCAGAGAAGUUGUCGGUGGAUGCGGGGCUCAGUCUCCAUAUCGUGGGACCCAGGGACGCAAUUGGAAACACUGGUUAUAUUGCCAACACCUUGGCUGGAAUGCCAUUUGAGACUCAGAUAUGACCACAUAGCUUUAAGGACUUUAAGGAACGAAGGUUGACAUUAUGGAGCCAAUAAAGUCCUUUGGAAAAACUACCUGAUACCUAGCUUACAAGGCUUCCCAGCAGCCUUACCAGGCAUCUUUCACAAAGCAUAUGAUCCCCUGAUGAAAAGAAUGUUGGAAAAGGAGCAAAGAUAAUGACCAGCUUAAAGAAUGUGAACCUAGAAAUGAGCAAAGGAAAAAAAAGAGAGACUAACAAGAAACAGACUCAACUAUAGAGAACAAACUGAUGGUUACCAGAAGGGAGGUGGGUGGGAGGAUGGGUGAAGUAGGUAAAGGGGAUUAAGAGUCCAUUUACCAUGAUGAGCACUGAGCAACGUAUGGAAUUGAAUCACUAUAUUGUAUGCCGAAAACUGAUAUAACACUAUAUGUUAACUAUUUUGGAAUUAAAAUUAAAAACAAUUAAAAAAAUGUGAAUCUGAAGCUAUAACCUGUGAAUAUCAUACAGAGAUUCCACAAAAACUGUAAGAACCUGAGUUUAGCAGCGAGUGGCACAAAUGCCUUAAAUUUUGGAGACAUCUCUCAGGUAGGCUGAGAAUCUGAUAAAAAGAGGGAAAUUGUUGAAAACAAGGAAACAGGCCUGCCCAAAAUAGAGUCACCUUUACUAAGUACCAUAGCACAAAAGUGAUACAUAAUUACAAUUUUGGCUUUCUGAGAAAUGGAAUCCUUAACCAGUCAAUCAAGAAUUGCCUGAUCAGUACUAGUUAGGUAACAUGCCUGAUAGACUGCUACCAUCCCCUAAAGGAAGGUAACCUUGCAAUUACCAACCUGCUUUUUUGCCUAGGAUAAUUUCCUUGUUGCUGCUCUCCCUUACGCUUAUAAAGGUCUUCCAUUUUGUGGAGCUCUUCUCUAUCUGCUAGAUUGCA